rnacentral:rRNA from 1 species
UGGGGAAUAUUGGACAAUGGGCGAAAGCCUGAUCCAGCCAUGCCGCGUGUGUGAAGAAGGUCUUCGGAUUGUAAAGCACUUUAAGUUGGGAGGAAGGGCAGUAAGCGAAUACCUUGCUGUUUUGACGUUACCGACAGAAUAAGCACCGGCUAACUCUGUGCCAGCAGCCGCGGUAAUACAGAGGGUGCAAUCGUUAAUCGGAAUUACUGGGCGUAAAGCGCGCGUAGGUGGUUCGUUAAGUUGGAUGUGAAAGCCCCGGGCUCAACCUGGGAACUGCAUCCAAAACUGGCGAGCUAGAGUAGGGCAGAGGGUGGUGGAAUUUCCUGUGUAGCGGUGAAAUGCGUAGAUAUAGGAAGGAACACCAGUGGCGAAGGCGACCACCUGGGCUCAUACUGACACUGAGGUGCGAAAGCGUGGGGAGCAAACAGG